rnacentral:lncRNA from 1 species
UUAAAGAUUAAAUUACAGAAAAUCUUAUAUCAAUACCUUUUUCUCUUUUUUUUUUUUUUCUGUCAUUCAAAAAUCUAUACUUUAUUUAUUUAAAAAAUAAAAAAUAUUCAUUCGGUUCUCGCCGUCAGUAUUCCCUUUAUAUCUUAUUUUUUAUACCCAAAAUAUCCUUGAAACUCACAUCUUUCUCAUUCUUCCUCACCGACAUCCUCGCCCUACUCCGCCGCCUCGCGCUCACCCAUGCCUCGUCCUCGCGCACUCCUCUUUCCGUGCCUAGACACACGCCCUCGCCCCUCCUCCGCUGCCUCACCCUCGCCCAUCUCUCCGCCCAUACCCACCACGAUCUUCUCUUUACAAUCGUCGAAAUAGAGGGACGGCGAGGGUGCUGGAGGGGCAGGGAAGCAAGUGAAGAAAACGAAGUUGGAGCUAGGGUCGAGAGAGGCGGGGGUAAGGGUGCAAGAUGAGCAGGAUUACAAAAGAGACGAAAAAGAUUACGAUAAUUUGAUCAUUUUGUUGUACCAUACCCCAUUGUGAAUAUUUUUUAUUUUUUAAAAGGCAAAGUAUACGUUUUAAAUAAUAUGAGAGGAAAGUGAAAGAACGAAUAUCGACAGAAAAAUUUUCUAUAAUUAGCCUUUAUUAAAUCCAUGCUAGAUCUAGAGAGAGUUGAGCCUCGGCACAAAUAUCUGUACUUAUGAUUUUUAGUCAUC